rnacentral:sRNA from 1 species
ACCUGCUGCGACCAGCCGUGCUCUGCGGCACGCGGCACCAGAAACACAUCGCGCCACGGGAAGAACGUGGCCUUUCAGGGCGUU